CCUUCGAUAGCUCAGUUGGAAGAGCGCGAGACUGUAAUCGGAUACAAAUCGGAUAUACUUCGACAUCUUGAGGUCGCUGGUUCGAUCCCGGCUCGAAGGA
rfam:Phlebiopsis gigantea 11061_1 CR5-6 unplaced genomic scaffold PHLGIscaffold_106, whole genome shotgun sequence.